AACGAACGCUGGCGGCAGGCCUAAAACAUGCAAGUCGAACGAACCGCAAGGUUAGUGGCGCACGGGGGAGUAACACGUGGGAAUAUGCCUUUAACUAAGGAACAACGUCGGGAGACUGACGCGAAUACCGUAUAAUGUAUCUGGACCAAAGAUUUAUCGGUGAAAGAUUAGCCCGCGUCUGAUUAGCUAGUUGGUGAGGUAAUGGCUCACCAAGGCGACGAUCAGUAGCUGGUCUGAGAGUAUGAUCAGCCACACUGGAACUGAGACACGGUCCAGACUCCUACGGGAGGCAGCAGUUAGGUAUAUUGGACAAUUGGGGCAACCCUGAUCCCGCCAUGCUGCGUGAGUGACGAAGGCCUUCGGGUUGUAAAGCUCGUUCGGCUGUGAAGAUAAUGACAGUAGCAGAAUAAGAAGCCCCGGCUAAAUUCGUGCCAGCCGCCGCGGUAA
rnacentral:rRNA from 1 species